rnacentral:rRNA from 1 species
UGGAGGUAGUGACAAUAAAUCACAAUGCGGAACAAUGUUUUGCAAUUGGAUUGAGAACAACGUACAAACCUUAUCGAUAAACAAUUGGAGGGCAAGUCUGGUGCCAGCAGCCGCGGUAAUUCCAGCUCCAAUAGCGUAUAUUAACGUUGUUGCAGUUAAAAAGCUCGUAGUUGAAACGAAGGGUGGUGUUGUUGGAUUUACAUUCGUGUAUUUCUUUCAACUCCUCCCUCCUUCUAAAUUCGAUAUAUGAGUAUUAAUUUACUUGUAUAUGGUUUUAGACAUUUACUGUGAGAAAAUUAGAGUGUUCAAAGCAGGCAUUUGCUUGAAUAUAUUAGCAUGGAAUAAUCAUGUAUGAUUUUCAUGAUGUAUUUGAUUGGUUUGGUUCAUGAGAAUAAGAUUAAAAGGGACAGUUGGGGGUAUUCAUAUUCAAUAGUCAGAGGUGAAAUUCUCGGAUUUAUGGAAGAUGAACAAGUGCGAAAGCA